rnacentral:rRNA from 1 species
GACGUAGGGUGCGAGCGUUGUCCGGAUUUAUUGGGUCGUAAAGAGCUCGUAGGCGGCUCGUCGCGUCGACCGUGAAAACCCGCGGCUUAACUGCGGGCUUGCGGUUGAUACGGGCGGGCUAGAGUUCGGUAGGGGAGACUGGAAUUCCUGGUGUAGCGGUGAAAUGCGCAGAUAUCAGGAGGAACACCGGUGGCGAAGGCGGGUCUCUGGGCCGAUACUGACGCUGAGGAGCGAAAGCGUGGGGAGCGAACAGG